GAGGCUUUAGUAUAAUUUAGUAUUGUUUAUUUUCAAUAAAUAGGUAAAAGUCUUAU
rnacentral:tRNA from 1 species